rnacentral:ncRNA from 2 species
UUUAAGAUAAAACCUCGAGCGGUCUUCCCUAAGAAAUCACAUGAAGUGAUGAGAUGGGCUGCCGCCUGUGGGUCAAAUUGGAAACGAUUUGGCCUCCCGACCCCGUCUUGGCAAGAGAUCUCAGGAUCCCCUUG